GUCGGGUGGCAGAACAACUGAGCUAAAUCCCCAGCCCUUGCUUAUCAUUCUUCAAGCUUUAGCAAACCAGCCUUUCACAGUCUGAGCCAUUUCAGCUGUGAGAGAAUGCAGAGAUGAAGGAGAGAGCCCAGUGCCAGGCCUUCUGCAGAACAUCAAGCUGAGCCCAUGGCCAGUACAGACAAGGAGAUACCUGUCACUCAGCUACUACAUCAGUGAUCUCACCUCCAGAGCAUGAAAGCUGCUGGGGAGAGCAUUUCCAGAAUUAACAAACUCAUCCAAAGUCCACUUGAUUCCUGUCUCCUUGCCAAGGUUUGAAAAGAGCUACAUAAUGAUAGGAAAUUUCUGAAAUGAAAAAAAUUUCACCAACCAUCCUACUAAAAAGUGUACUAUGGUAGCAGCUGCCAGCUAGACAUCAGCGAGCUCUUCAGCCCAGUGGAGCCUGCCCCAUGGAUUUCCAGAGCCUCUGUCAUCUCUGACCCCUGUCCUGCAGGACCCUCACCAACCCUGCCCUGGGAUCCCCAUUGACACCCAGAGGCUCCCAAAAGCUCUCUGCAUGGGGGUUGAUGAAGAUGUGAGGAGACUCUGGGCUUUACUGAGAACUGUAUGAUUCCCCUACAUCCAUGUGUAAUUUGUACUGUCUUUGUUGAGUUGUUCCUCACACAGGCCUUGAAAACAUUGAUUCUUAGGCUUUUUUCUUUACUAUACCUCAUGUGCCAAAAAUCCGAUGAGUCAUGAGCUCUCUUCUCAAGGAAACACACACACACACACACACACACACACACAUUAGUUGUACUCAUCAUCAUUUCACUGUUUCAUUACUGUAUCAAAUACUUCAGAUAAACAACAAAAAAGAGAAAAGGUUCAUUUUUGCUCAGUUUUAGAAGUUCCAGUCUAUGGUCAGUUGGCUUACUGCUGUUGGAGCUGCGGUGGAGCAGCACAUCACAGGGGUGCAUGGUGGAGCAAAGCUGCUCACCUCAUGGUGGUGGGGAAGCCAAGGGAAAGGAAGAGGAGGGGCCUGAGUUCCAAUUAGCUUCAAGGGAACACUAACAGUAACCUGACUUCCUUCCACUACAACUCAUCUCUUAAAACUUCUGCCAGCUCCCAGUAGCACCACAAUCUGGGGACCAAGCCUUUAGCACAUGCACCUUCAGAGGACAUUCAAGAUCCACACUACGGCAUUAGUCAUGCACGUGUAAACUUUUCAUAUAGUUUCAGGGACUCGCACAUCCUUAGAAGCCCAUUUUUCUACCAUAUGUGGAGAGCUCACAGUCUAGAAUGAGACACUAUUCAUUAGGGUCACCCCGACUGCAGGGCUUUACUGACCCUAUCUGACUUCCUCACCUCUCCUCUUUGUUCAUGGAACACUCUAGCUCUAGAUUAACAUUCUUUCCUUAAUUAUUUCUCUCCUCCUAGGUGAUUUGAGUAGCACUCACGUGGCUGGCUUAUCUCACCCUCCAGCAAUCCAGACUCUUGGUUUCUGACAUGUACUCCUUAUGUCCCUUCACCACCUCUAUUCCAUCACACAUUACCGCGGUCCCCAAGGGUCAUCUCUCCAGAAUCCAGAGGGAUAUCUUUAUCAUGAAAUAAAUACUUCAACUUAAGGGGUCAGGGAUUUAGUUCAGUUGUUCUGCUACUUGCCUCUCAAGCCCA